rnacentral:rRNA from 1 species
CGAAGCUUAAGCCGAUAGGUGUAGGCGCAGCGAAAGCGAGUCUGAACAGGGCGUUCAGUCGCGGGCAGAAGACCCGAAACCGAGUGAUCUAGCCAUGGCCAGGCUGAAGGUGGGGUAACACCCACUGGAGGGCCGAACCCACGCCUGUUGAAAAAGUCGGGGAUGAGCUGUGGCUAGGGGUGAAAGGCCAAUCAAACUCGGAGAUAGCUGGUUCUCCGCGAAAUCUAUUGAGGUAGAUCGUCAUGUGUUACCCCGGGGGGUAGAGCACUGGAUGGGCUAGGGGGUCCCAAAAGACUUACCAAACCUAACCAAACUCCGAAUACCCGGGAGUAUAGCGUGGCAGACAGACGGCGGGUGCUAAGGUCCGUCGUCGAGAGGGAAACAGCCCAGAUCGCCAGCUAAGGCCCCAAAUUCUGGACUAAGUGUAAAACGAUGUGAGAUUGCCCAGACAGCCAGGAGGUUGGCUUAGAAGCAGCCACCCUUGAAAGAGUGCGUAACAGCUCACUGGUCGAGUGAUCUUGCGCGGAUAAUGUAACGGG